UCUUCCAGUAACCAGUAGAUCUGAAGAGC
rnacentral:piRNA from 1 species